AAUUACAUAAACAAAAUUAUUCGCCAGAGUACUACUAGCAACAGCUUAAAACUCAAAGGACUUGGCGGUGCUUUAUAUCCUUCUAGAGGAGCCUGUUCUAUAAUCGAUAAACCCCGAUAAACCUCACCAAUUCUUGCUAAUACAGUCUAUAUACCGCCAUCUUCAGCAAACCCUAAAAAGGAAAAAAAGUAAGCGUAAUUAUGAUACAUAAAAACGUUAGGUCAAGGUGUAACCUAUGAAAUGGGAAGAAAUGGGCUACAUUCUCUACACCAAGAGAAUCAAGCACGAAAGUUAUUAUGAAACCAAUAACCAAAGGAGGAUUUAGCAGUAAACUAAGAAUAGAGUGCUUAGUUGAAUUAGGCCAUGAAGCACGCACACACCGCCCGCC
rnacentral:rRNA from 1 species